AGUAAUGUCUGGGAAACUGCCUGAUGGAGGGGGAUAACUACUGGAAACGGUAGCUAAUACCGCAUAAUGUCGCAAGACCAAAGUGGGGGACCUUCGGGCCUCAUGCCAUCAGAUGUGCCCAGAUGGGAUUAGCUAGUAGGUGGGGUAACGGCUCACCUAGGCGACGACCCCUAGCUGGCCUGAGAGGAUGACCAGCCACACUGGAACUGAGGCACGGUCCAG
rnacentral:rRNA from 1 species